rnacentral:rRNA from 2 species
AAAUUGAAGAGUUUGAUCAUGGCUCAGAUUGAACGCUGGCGGCAGGCCUAACACAUGCAAGUCGAACGGUAACAGGAAGCAGCUUGCUGCUUCGCUGACGAGUGGCGGACGGGUGAGUAAUGUCUGGGAAACUGCCUGAUGGAGGGGGAUAACUACUGGAAACGGUGGCUAAUACCGCAUAACGUCGCAAGACCAAAGAGGGGGACCUUCGGGCCUCUUGCCA